UACGAAGGGGGCUAGCGUUGCUCGGAAUUACUGGGCGUAAAGCGCACGUAGGCGGAUUUGUAAGUCAGGGGUGAAAUCCCGGGGCUCAACCUCGGAACUGCCUUUGAUACUGGCAAGCUAGAGUCCGGAAGAGGUAAGUGGAACUCCUAGUGUAGAGGUGGAAUUCGUAGAUAUUAGGAAGAACACCAGUGGCGAAGGCGGCUUACUGGUCCGGAACUGACGCUGAUGCGCGACAGCGGUGGGA
rnacentral:rRNA from 1 species